rnacentral:rRNA from 1 species
AACGUAGGAGACAAACGUUAUCCGGAGUUACUGGGCGUAAAGGGCGUGUAGGUGGUAGAGUAAGUCUGGCGUGAAAUUUUUCGGCUUAACCGGGAAAGGUCGUCGGAUACUGCUUAACUAGAGGACGGUAGAGGCGUGUGGAAUUUCGGGUGUAGAGGUGAAAUGCGUAGAGAUCCGGAGGAACACCAGUGGCGAAGGCGACACGCUGGGCCGAUCCUGACGCUGAUGCGCGAAAGCAUGGGGAGCAAACAGG